rnacentral:rRNA from 1 species
AGUGAACGCUGGCGGUAGGCCUAACACAUGCAAGUCGAACGGCAGCACAGUAAGAGCUUGCUCUUACGGGUGGCGAGUGGCGGACGGGUGAGGAAUACAUCGGAAUCUACUUUUUCGUGGGGGAUAACGUAGGGAAACUUACGCUAAUACCGCAUACGACCUACGGGUGAAAGCAGGGGAUCUUCGGACCUUGCGCGAUUGAAUGAGCCGAUGUCGGAUUAGCUAGUUGGCGGGGUAAAGGCCCACCAAGGCGACGAUCCGUAGCUGGUCUGAGAGGAUGAGCAGCCACACUGGAACUGGAGCACGGUCCAGAAUCCUACGGGAGGCAGCAGUGGGGAAUAUUGGACAAUGGGCGCAAGCCUGAUCCAGCCAUACCGCGUGGGUGAAGAAGGCCUUCGGGUUGUAAAGCCCUUUUGUUGGGAAAGAAAAGCAGCAGGUUAAUACCCCGCUGUUCUGACGGUACCCAAAGAAUAAGCACCGGCUAACUUCGUG